rnacentral:misc_RNA from 1 species
GAUGAAGAACGUAGCGAAAUGCGAUAAGUAAUGUGAAUUGCAGAAUUCAGUGAACCAUCGAAUCUUUGAACGCACAUUGCGCCCGGCAGUAAUCUGCCGGGCAUGCCUGUCCGAGCGUCAUUUCUCCCCUCGAGCGCAGCUUUCCCCCCCGGGGGAGGGCCGCGCCCGGUGUUGGGGCGCUACGGAGGAGCCCAGCGCUCCCCCGUAGGCCCCGAAAUGUAGUGGCGGUCCCGCCGCGGCGCCCCCUGCGUAGUAGUUUUACAACUCGCAUCGGGUCCCGGCGGAGGCCAGCCGUCAAACCCCCCAACUUCAAUAGUUUGACCUCGGAUCAGGUAGGGUUACCCGCUGAACUUAAGCAUAUCAUAAGCGGAGGA